UACACUUGGGGUAGUGAACAUC
rnacentral:siRNA from 1 species